GGUAGAAAACAGAGAGAAAUUACUAUGGAAAGGCAGUAAUGCAUAUAUACUUUUGAUUAACAGGUGUCAAACAAGAUGUGCAUUAGGAUCCAUUGGUGAGCAAGUGAUUUAAUGCUAAAUUUUCUCAAAUCGGUUUUGAUGAAGAGACAAAGUCUUCUAAAUCUUGGAUGGCCUAAGGGGGACGCAGUCUAAGCUAAUCAUAGACUCAGCCGAGCAAAUAAAAGAUGCCAUGGUGUUUGAUAUUAGGAGGUACAAGUGUCCAUGAAGAGGAGGCUGGACUUACCCUCGCUGUUUCUCUACUGCAGUCCAGUUUUUGUCAUUCUGUUCAUCCAUCUGUCACUUCUGGCUCUUAGACAGGGUCAUGGUCAUAGGCUUAAAGAUAAAACAUACAGUAAAGCUACAUACAGUACAUGAGUUUAAUUGCAGUCACCACCAUCUAUUACCCAA